rnacentral:rRNA from 1 species
UAAAGGAAUUGGCGGGGGAGCACUACAACGAGUGGAGCGUGCGGUUUAAUCUAAUUUUACACUGAGAAUCUCACCAGGAGCGACUGCAGGAUGAAAGUCAGGUUAAUGGCCUUACUUGACGAGCAGAGAGGUAGUGCAUGGCCGUCGUAAGCUCGUGCCGUAAGGUGUCCUCUUAAGUGGGGCAACGAGCGAGACCUACAUCUACAGUUGCCAGCAACUUCUUUAGAAGGAUUGGGCACACUGUAGAGACUGCCCGGGAAACUGGGAGGAAGGCGUAGGCAAUGGCAGGUCUGUAUGCUCCGAAUCUUCUGGGCUACACGCGCGCAACAAUGGUGGGAACAAUGGGCUGCGACUCCGAAAGGAGAAGCUAAUCCUCGAAAUCCUAUCUUAGUUCUGAUUGAGGGUUGUAACUCACCCUCAUGAUGCUGGAAUCCGUAGUAAUCGGGUGUUAUCAGCGCCCGGUGAAUAUGUCCCUGCUCCUUGCACACACCGCCA